rnacentral:lncRNA from 1 species
CUGCUUCUUCAUGUCCUGCACCGUUGGUGUCUCUUCGCUAUAUGAUCAACAAAAGUGACUGGGGUUCAGACACUAUGAAUCUGAGGCCAGUUUAAUGCACCGGUUUUCAGUUUCCCAUGCUUCCCAGUCCUUUCGCAGCCUCCUUCCGUAGCAGAGAUGAGCCUCGGUGCAGGAGCCUAGAGAAAUAAAACAGAGGAAUGAUCAUGAAUAAUCAUAGUCAACCAACAAUAAUAUUAACUGCACAAACAUAAAUGAGAAUGGACCAUUUGUUUUAAGAUCAGCUUAAAUGGCCUGAGCACGUCGAACGGGCCAAUUUAAACUUUAUUUCAGUUGCCAAUGCAGAUAGGAUGUAUCGGCAUUACAGUACCCAUCAAUGAAUAAUUUGGCACGACUAGUUUUCCAUUACACCACCAUGUAUGCUGACAGCGUCAGCACACAGCUAAAGGAAGGUCAAUAUAACUUAACAUGUUGAACUCAAGAAGGCUAGGACACUGGGCGCUGACAAGUGGAAGAUUUCCUUUGGUUUCCUUUGACAUGUCAAAUCAGUAUCAGAGCACGCAAAUGGUUGACCAGAAGAAGAAAAUAAUUUGGAAGGCAACCACAUGAAAGCACAACACCUAUGGCAGACCGUGUGUUUGUUCAGCAUAUGCAUAAUCACCACAGCAAGCAAAACUGGAAACUAACCAAAAGAAUAUGCAACCCUCCAUCACCAGAGAGCACCACCUUCCAUCAAAUUUGCAUCGGUCAUCAGCGUAGGCUGCAAUUACGCAUGCACAUAGAUUCUCCAGAUCAUAUACGUCAUGGCACUUAUGCAGUGUCUUGGCAAGGAAAGAAACAUAAACCCAGUACAAAUUUCCAUCACAGUUUCACCUUCGACAGUUAAAUUACAAAGGUGUAAAGCUAAGGCUGAAUCAUAAAGACUAUGGGAACACUAUUGACCUCCUUCCUCAAAACAGUUGCCAAAUUCAGCCCGUGCCAUUUCUCAUGACGAAAAUCAGAACAUUUGGAAAUCACAACUAUCCUCCCAUAUGAGGUUUAAGCUUAAAAAUUCAGACGAUGCAUUUCUCACAUAAAAAGGGUGUUACAGAAUUACAUCAUAACUCUGAUGACUCAUUGUUUUACUCAAAGUGCAUCAACAUGGUCUACUUAUGUAAUACUCUGAAGAGGUCCUUGGCUGUAAGCGGGUACAUCUCCAAAGUACGAAGCUAGACAAAGAGAACAAAUUUAUUUAGCUUUGGAUCAUACAAAUGAUAUCUGUCACCCUUCUCAAAAGCUCAUAAAACAUGCAUGAUAAUCGAUACUGCAGUGUUCAGUUAACUCGUUUAUCUACUGUUGAGUCUAACAUUCAGUUACAAAUCCCUCUCCAAGUGUUUUAACUGUGAAAUAAAUUGUGAAAUUCCACUAUCCAACAGGCAAACAACUUGAGACAAUAAUGUUAAGAAAAAAAAGAGAUAAGAACAGCCAUGAGGAGUGCACAUACCUUCAGCUUGCUUUUCCACCUUUUAAAAGUUUAUCACAAAUGCAGCAUCCUUGUCAAUGGAGAACUCGUGGGUUUCUCAUCUUUACUGUACUGAACCACUGAAUUUUGGAACAACUGAAGAGAUUAAAAUUUCAGUGUUGCUGAUACAAAAAAUGUCAAAAAUGUAUUUACGGACAUACAUCAGCUUCCUUCAAACUCAAACGUGCUUUCAAUCCAGCGCAUAUGAUUGCGCUCGAGGCAAAGAGCAACCUGCAAGACCGAAGGAGGAACAUAUUAGAAUCAAUAUGUGCUGCAUAACAUUAUGUGGAGUUGAGUACAUGAAAAGUGGUUGUGGUUUGGUAAUUAUAACAUGGCAGGGAAAGGCAGAGUUAAUUGUCCAAAUAUCAAGGAAGCAGUGUGGUUUUCUUAAGUACAGUUUGGUAAUGUUAGUACAAACUCUACUAGUAUGCAGAGCUAGACAUGCUAAAUGAUAAUUCAUCAAACUGAUGCCUCAAAAUGUAACCAAAGUCAAUGAAUAGUUGAAGACUACCAUGCAUAUGAAAUGCAAGACAUCAUAAAGAAUUAACAUCUUAGACCCCAUCAAUACCCCAUCCUUCUACAGCUUAGACCCCCAAUAUCGAAAGUUGUCAUUCUGAGGCACCACUUGCCCAUCAAGGCUAACCUCCUCCUCGCGCCUAGUAGUACUGAAACCACACCCCAUGUACUCGGUUUUAGUUCUACUAACCAUAAAACCUUUCGAUUCCAAGGUUUGUCUCCGAAACUCUAACUUCCUAUUGACCCUCGUCCGACUAUCGUUAACUAGCACCACAUCAUCCGCAAAGAGCAUACACCAUGGGAUAUCUCCUUAUAUAUCCCUUAUGACCUCAUCCAUCACCAAAGCAAAAAGAUAAGGGCUCAAAGCUGACCCUUGAUGCAGUCCUAUCUUAAUCGGGAAGUCAUCAGUGUCGACAUCACAUGUUCGAACACUUGUCAAAACAUUAUCGUGCAUGUCCUUGAUGAGGGUAAUGUACUUUGCUGGGAUUUUGUGUUUCUCCAAGGCCCACCACAUGACAUUCCGCGGUAUCUUAUCAUAGGCCUUCUCGAAGUCAAUGAACACCAUAUGCAAGUCAUUCUUUUGCUCCCUGUAUCUCUCCAUAAGUUGUCGUACAAAGAAAAUGGCUUCCAUGAUUGACCUCCCAGGCAUGAAACCAAACUGAUUUUUGGUCACGCACCUCAUUCUUCUUAAGUGGUGCUCAAUGACUCUCCCAUAGCUUCAUUGUAUGGCUCAUCAGCUUAAUUCCAUGGUAACUGGGACAACCCUGAACAUCCCCCUCGUUCUUGAAGAUUUGUACUAAUAUACUCCGUCUCCAUUCUAUUGGCAUCUUGUUUGCCCCAAAAAUGAGGUUGAAAAGCUUGGUUAGCCAUACUAUCGCUAUGUCCUCGAGGCCUUUCCACACCUGAAUUGGGAUACAAUCAGGGCCCAUCGCAUUGCCUCCUUUCAUCCUUUUAAAGCCUCCUUGACCUCAGACUCCUGGAUUCGCCGCACAAAAUGCCUGCUAGUAUCAUCAAAGGAGUCAUCCAGUUGAAUGGUAGAAUUCUCAUUCUCCCCAUUGAACAACUUGUCGAAGUACUCCCGCCAUCUAUGCUUAAUCUCCUCAUCCUUCACCAGGAGUUGGUCUGCUCCAUCCUUGAUGCAUUUGACUUGGACAACAUCCCUCGUCUUCCUCUCUCCGAUCUUGGCCAUCUUAUAGAUGUCCGUUUCGCCUUCCUUCGUGCCUAACCGCUGGUAUAGAGGUCCUCAUACGCCCGACCCCUUACUUCACUGACAGCUUGCUUUGCAGCCUUCUUCGUCAUCUUGUACUUCUCUAUGUUGUCUGCACUCCUAUCCAGGUAUAGGCGUCUGAAACAAUCUUUCGUCUCCUUAAUAGCCUUCUUGACAUCAUCAUUCCACCACCAGGUAUCCUUUGCUUCGCUUCUCCUUCCCCUGGACACUCCAAACUCUGAGGCCACCUUUGAACAUAAUCAAUUUUCAAACAUCAUGAAAUGUUAUAGUCGAACAAAUGAAAGAUCAUUGUCACACAUACGAAUAUCAUGCAAACAUCAUUGUCUCACAUACGAGUCCUUGAGAAUAUGAUAUGAAUAAGGAAGAUCUUUAAAGUAUUAUAUUACAUGGUUCUCUCAACAAAAGCAUACACCAUAAACCUAACCAUCAAGGAAAGAAGCUUGCAACAAUAGCACGUAUGGUACCUAUAUUACCUUAAUCAAUGGAUGCAAAGUGAUGAGAGGUGCUCUCCUUGUGAACAUAAGAUCCAUUCUCAACCGUGCCGAAAAACCAUCGAAGGUUAAACAUAAAUUUUUCUUGAAGCUCGAUACUCGAGAGCACCAUCUAGCCAAAGUCACCUUGCUACCGCCAUAAUUUGCCAACUAAGACGGAGACACGCACCACGAUCACAGGAUUUAAAUUCGAACCGUUCUAUGCCAUGCACUCUGAGAGACCGCCCCUCGCGUGCAUAUCCUGACACAUCUCGCACGCACUUGCUUAAACACCCAUUCCAGGGAAUCAAAAAAGCAGCAGAAUACGAGAAGGAUUUCCUUUCUUAAAGGUUCACUCAUUUAUUUAAAAAGAGGCUCACUCCUUUUGUCCUACCAUAUGUGCAGUUCACACGAAGAAGCGGAAUCCAACUAUCUAGCCCUCUUGGGCGUGCAGUUUUUGGCAAGGGCAACAAAAAUGGCAAAGUUCAGCAAAGUGAUGGUGGCAACGAGCAGAAAGUAGUAAUCUAGAUGUCCAUUAUCUAAUUCCGAUGGAAACCAUCCCGACGAGAUGGAUAGAAGGCCGUCGACAUGCUCUCCAUCACCUCUAGCCCUCCAUGCCGUAGAAAUAUAUUGUCCAUCUCUCUCCAUCAGUUCGGACUUUUGGAUGAGUUGGCUGGAGCAUGAAUUCAAUAUGGUAUCCGAGCCAAGAGGUCUUGAGUUUAAGAACCUGCCAACGUAGUAUUAAAAAAAAGAUUCUACGGCCUACAUCGAUCCCACAUCGAAGGACUGAAUAGCCUAGCAGUGAGAGGGAGUGUUGAAAUAUAUUGCCCAUCUCUUUCCAUAAGUUCAGUUUUUUGGAUGAGUUGGCAGGAGCAUGAAUUCAAUAAGCUUAACACCAUGCACCUACCUUAGCCUCCCUUGGUCGUUAAAGAAGAUUCACAAGGUCCACUUGCAGCCUCUUUUUUGGAUAAAGAUCUCAAUUACAUGACAAUCGCAUCCCCACAUAGAUUGCUAAUUUGCUCAAUAUUGGAAGUUGGCUCAUGCUGGUCAAAUCGGUGCUUCUUUCCAUCCCAAUUUGCAAAUUAACAUGUUUCUUAACAAAAAUGGAUAAUUAAUUCAAACAAUUAACAUGUCCUUUACUAGAAAUGGAACCAGGAAAUUAGACGGAUGAUCCCUCUGGACCAAGGGCGAAACCAGAUCGGAUUCGGAUCGAUAAUGGUCAUACGUAUCCCAUUCCAAAUUUAUUUUCGGAUUCGGAAGUGGGACGGAUGCAGAUUCGAAUACCAGAUUAUGCGGAUUCAAAUACCAAUACGAUAACGGAAUAGACUCGGGUCAAAAGUGGAUAAACAUAAUCAUACAAUAAGAAACAUCCACAAGUACUCAAGAAUACACAAAAAGAGCCACGAAUGAUUAACAGUACGUAACCUAGCCAUCCAUCGCUCAAUGCCUUAUUCUUUGCCUGAGCUUUUCACUGAUUAUUCUCUCAUAGUAAUCCAGCCCAUAAAAUAAACCACGAAGUGCUUGCAAAUUGGGCCUCUAAAGACUGAAGCGCAUGCACCACAUUUCUCUACGCCUCUGCGGCUGCAUGUGCACAACACACAACAGCGAUCUACUUUCAUCUAGAAAAAAGUUGCGAACAGCCUACGGGUGUCAGAGGCGAUUGUUUAGUACCACCUCCCUUACCCAAGCGCGGGUACAAUGGCUUGGUGCUAUAAAAAAGAAUAGGGGUGUGCAUAGACCAGGAAAACCGCAAAGUCGACGAACUAGCUAAUAGCUAUGCACCCGCGUCGCGAGUUGAGUGCCUCUUGGGUUUCUCAAGAAAAAUAGUUGUGAGUCAUUUCUUGGCUAGCUGCACGGCCAACAUAACAUAAAAAUCGGAUAAUUCAAAAUUUAGACCGGAUAAUCUAAUUGUAAAUUCAGAUAAUUUGGUAUCCGGCAGAUAAUGCCUGCACUGCAUCCUAUUCCCAAUCCAGUGUAGCCGUGUAGGUAUCCGCUAUCUGGUCCCAUAUCCGCCAGAUAGCAUUUUCUCUUCCCAUAUCCUAUGAAUUCGGAACCAGAUUCGGUCCAGCAAUUAUUCGAUCCGAUUUCAACCCUUACUCUGGACCUCGCAGGAUCUCUCAAUGAAGCUAAAGCGAGCAAGUUCAUGUGAAACCUCAAUUGCUUCUUGCCCAUAGUUUCAAACCUUAGUCUGGACCUCGCAGGAUCUCUCAAUGAAGCUAAAGCGAGCAAGUUCAUGUGAAACCUCAAUUGCUUCUUGACCAUAGUGCCUUAUAGUCGCCUUGUCGAAGCUAUACUCAGCAUGUUUCAUGCUCGCAAAGCUAUACUCAGCAUGUUUCAUGCCCGCAAAGCUAUACUCAGCAUGUUCAAUUUUAUAGAAGGAACGUCGAGGGCCUGUUACUUGUAUCUGCAUGUAUAGCCGCCAUAAAGCCAUGAGUCACGGAGAAAAGCUCCAAGGACCCAUUACAUCCAUUAACAUGGAGGAAGGCGCCCACAUUGAGCUUGAAACCUGCCUGACACUGGCCGAGUCCAUUUCCGAAUCAGAGUUGGUGCCCGCUCCUUCCAAGCAAUGGAGUUUGCAACUAUCAUUGUGUUUCUCAUCAUGGCACGCACUGCCAGUCACGCCUUUUCCUCAUGUACGAUGCGUCGGUGCUCCCACCAGAUAUACUAGCAGGCGACCAUUAUCAUAUCUAGACCAGUCGCAUUCUUCAGCGCUAGUCCCCCUAGCUUCUCUACAAACAACUCCUCCAAGAUAAUAGAGCCCAACAUGUCCAUUGUUGUUGCAGACUCAACACUAGUACAAAAACGGGCAUUACAAGCGGCCUUGUGAAGCGGUUGUGAGCCAAGACAUCAAAGCCGCCUAUAAUACCCACACUAGAGGUGGUUAUUCUUGUUAUAGAAAGCAUCACAAACGGUUAGAAUUCAAACCACCUGUAGGAAACGUUGAGGCGAUUGUUACGUUGAAACCGCUUGUAGUUUCUCACCAGCGCAUGCAGUCUGCUUCUAUUUCAAAACUGCCUACGGUGGGUGAGUACCUCGGGGCGCAACCUUUCCCUUCCCUUUGUGCACAUCACCCCACCGACUACGUCUCACACAUGCACCUUCCCUUGGCGCUUGGCGCUUGUGUGCCUGCGACCUCAUCUUCUCCACGGACUUCUACAACUGGUAUUUGUCAUGCUACACCGCCUCUAGUGGCCUAAACAUGUGUUGGUGAACACUCCUCUUAUGGUAGUUCUACGUCAACCACUUCAACGGUGACCUUCACCGCGCAGGAGAUUGCACGACUUCGACAACUACUCACUGCUUCUGGUUCUUCAUCCCCUGGCACUUCUUCAUCGGCCUGUUCCACAGAUACAAUUCAAUCCUUCAACGGCCAAAUCUCAAUUUGUGGAAAGCCUUCGAUGGCUUCCUUAUGAAAACAUCCAUUUGUAUAUGGGUAUAGACGGUCUUUCAAAUUACGAUAACAAAUCUAAAGUGAAGCCAAUCGCUUAUAAAAAUAAACCAGUCUCCUUUUAAAAGGAACUGGCCAAUUAACUUCGAAAAACUACGUUCUAACUUGAGCAGAAAAAAUGGUGGCAUUUGACAUCUACCACCCCUACUACUGCCCGAAAUCCUGCUUUGGUGAGCUUUCCCCAAGGUGACACCGAAGGUCUACCUCCUUUCGUGCGCCCCUCACCUCCUCCAUGAGGAUGAUCCACUGGAUUCAUUGCUCAUGAACAAUGGGGCAUCUGCCUAAGCACCGGCACCCCACCACGCUUACGGCAUGAAUUGAAAACUUCUCACUCUUGAAGGAAUUUUGCUUCAGUUGGACUAUGAAAAAGCUUAUGAUAGAGUUCAAUGGCCUUUUAGGUCCAGAUGGCUUCUCCGUUAGCUUUUUAGAGCUUUUUCGCCCCAGUUGAGAGAUAUACUAAUAUAAAUGCUUCAGGAGCUGUAUCAUGGCAGGUUGAACUUGUCCAGACUAAACUAACUAUGGUGUCAUUUCUCUACUGCCAAAGAUUAAGGAUGAUGUCGGCACCAGUCCGACAUUUUUUCUCUAUGGGCCGAGGAGAAAGGGGGCUCAGCGAGAAGAGUAUUGUAUCAUGAGAGAAGCACAGAGGUCAACCCGCUUCAAAUAUGGAACAUGGAUUCUGGCAAUAUAACGGAGUUGGGUCCUCAUCGAUUCGAAUGAAUCAGUCUUUCUACAGAGGUCAAUCUUUGCCUAUUAGGCGAGAGGAUAGCAAGUUCUAAAUUCUAUCUCGGUAGGACAUGGAUUUCUAUUACUAUGAAAUUCAUAAAUGAAAAUGAAGUAGUUAAUGGGAGGGCUACUGUUAUCCUUUUUCUUGUAUGUGUUCCUAAGAGAAGUAAUUUGUCCUCAUGUUUCAAGAUUGCACGAGUUUGACAACUAUUCACUCCUUCUGGUUCUUCAUAGUAAUAGAAAUCCUGCUUUGAUGAGCUUUCCCCAAGGUGACACCGAAGGUCUACCUCCUUUCGUGCGCCCCUCACCUCCUCCAUGAGGAUGAUCCACUGGAUUCAUUGCUCAUGAACAAUGGGGCAUCUGCCUAAGCACCGGCACCCCACCACGCUUACGGCAUGAAUUGAAAACCUCUCACUCUUGAAGGAAUUUUGCUUCAGUUGGACUAUGAAAAAGCUUAUGAUAGAGUUCAAUGGCCUUUUAGGUCCAGAUGGCUUCUCUGUUAGCUUUUUAGAGCUUUUUCGCCCCAGUUGAGAGAUAUACUAAUAUAAAUGCUUCAGGAGCUGUAUCAUGGCAGGUUGAACUUGUCCAGACUAAACUAACUAUGGUGUCAUUUCUCUACUGCCAAAGAUUAAGGAUGAUGUCGGCACCAGUCCUACAUUUUCUCUAUGGGCCGAGGAGAAAGGGGGCUUAGCGAGAAGAGUAUUGUAUCAUGAGAGAAGCACAGAGGUCAACCCGCUUCAAAUAUGGAACAUGGAUUCUGGCAAUAUAACGGAGUUGGGUCCUCAUCGAUCCGAAUGAAUCAGUCUUUCUACAGAGGUCAAUCUUUGCCUAUUAGGCAAGAGGAUAGCAAGUUCUAAAUUCUAUCUCGGUAGGACAUGGAUUUCUAUUACUAUGAAAUUCAUAAAUGAAAAUGAAGUAGUUAAUGGGAGGGUUACCGUUAUCCUUUUUCUUGUAUGUGUUCCUAAGAGAAGUAACUUGUCCUCAUGUUUCAAGAUUGCACGACUUCGACAACUAUUCACUCCUUCUGGUUCUUCAUCCCCUGACACUUCUUCGUCGGCCUCUUCAGUUGAGCCCCUGGCUAUGCUGGAGAUUACGAGACUUCAAUGUCUCCUAAUGCUUCUUUUAGUUCUCCAUCGAUAGUUUUGCAGGUUUUGCUACUGAUUCUUUUGGUACUAAGAUCCACUUUUUACAGUCAGGUACAUUUCUAUGGAUCCUACUGAUUCUUCUGGUACCGAGACCACUUUUUACACAGUCAGGUACAUUUCCAUGGAUCCUUGGUACAGGUGCUUCUUUUCAUAUGACUCACGAUUCUCCCAUUUUGUCCUCCACUCAAACCUCCAGAUUCUCAUGUUCAUGUUCUUACUGCUGAUGGUACUUCCCUCCCAGUCGGUAAUCGAGGUGCUCUUAGCACUUUGUCUUGUCAUGUUCGUUGACUUGCCACAUUUCAGGUAGUUAGAUUGUCGACUCUGGUUGUAGUCAUUCUCGACUUUGCCUCUUGUUUUGAUUAGGAUCGUCACACGGGUGCUCUACUUGGUGCUGGCCCUCGGCGCCGUGACUCACAGGGUCUUCAGGAGCUUGACUGGUUUCAUCGUCCCUCCCCUGCCACCGCUGCCAGUCUCUUCGCUUGUGUUACCUUGACUAUCGGCUCUUUGUGGCAUCACCGUCUUACGUCACUUGUGUGGCUCUCAUCUCCCACCCUUAAUUCAACAUGGUCUUCUUGGAUCUAUCUCUGGAGGUGUCUCUUUAGACUGUCAGGUUUGUCGACUUGUAAACCAGUUCAGUUACCUUAUCCUCACAGCAAGACUACGCCUCAACGUCCUUUCGAUCUUGCUCACUCUGAUGUUUAGCUUCCAGCUCCCUUUGCCUCGAAAGGAGCCAUAGUUACUAUAUUACUUUUAUAGAUGAUCUCUCGACACACAUAGAUAUAUUUUAUGUCUUCUUGUAGUGAGGUCUUAUCUAUGGCCUUACGUUUGCCGCCACAGUUCAUACCGAGCUUUCCACUCAUAUCCAUGUCUUCCAUGCAGAUUCAGCUCGUGAGUAUAUCUCUCAUUUGUUGGGCGAAUUCGUCGCUGAGAAGAGCACACUUGCUCAGUUCUCUUGUCUUGGUGCUCAUGCUCGGAAGGUGACUCAUGCGUUGGGUUGAGGUUGUUUCUACUUCCACCUAUCCCACCCUCUACUCUGCAGGUUGACAUUUCUCUCGAGCGUCUUGUUGGUCAUUUUCGUGACUACUCAACAUUUCGUUUAUUUGGUUGUUUUNNNNNNNNNNNNNNNNNNNNNNNNNNNNNNNNNNNNNNNNNNNNNNNNNNNNNNNNNNNNNNNNNNNNNNNNNNNNNNNNNNNNNNNNNNNNNNNNNNNNNNNNNNNNNNNNNNNNNNNNNNNNNNNNNNNNNNNNNNNNNNNNNNNNNNNNNNNNNNNNNNNNNNNNNNNNNNNNNNNNNNNNNNNNNNNNNNNNNNNNNNNNNNNNNNNNNNNNNNNNNNNNNNNNNNNNNNNNNNNNNACAGUGAUGAGCAGAAGAGUUAUCCGUGUUGGGAUACCGUCAGUUGUCGGAUGUGACUUUUGAUGAGUCACAUCAUUUCUAUCCAUGUCGAUCCUCUCCUUCGGCCACCCCAUUGAGGAUAUUUCUUUCUUCACUUUUCCCGAUACACCUAUCACUCAUGCAUUGUCCUCGUCCAUGAAUCCCAUCAUGUCUUCCCAUACUCACCACCCCAUUGAGGAUGUUUUAGACCCCAUGCCAUCAUCACCUUCGGCUUCCCCACCUCACCUUGCUCGUCCCCUGAGGCUUCUACGAUGAUUCCCCCUCGUCCUCUUCUUUAUCACAUUGGUUGCCCGCGUGUUGUGGAUUCUUCUGAUGCGCCAUCUCCCCAGACUACCAUGCCACCUUUUAUUGGCAACGCACCGCCUCCAGAUCAACUUACUAUUGACCGCUAUGGUUAUUCUGGCGUCUAGACUUCUAAUCAUGAUGCUAUUGUUCAUCCCGAACGGAAACAUGCCAUGCCAUGGGAUUCUCAUUUCCUUUCCUCCAAGUGCUGACUUAGGCCGUCCGGGCCUAAUAAAGCCCGUAGCAGAAAAUGUAGGCCCGGGCCUGGCCCAGUCGUCAGGCCUAGAUUUCAGGGCCAGACCCGUCCCAUCAGUGAAAAAAACCGUCAUGCCUCGGGCCGGGCCUCUUCCCUAAAACGCAAAUAUGUCAAGCCCAAGCCCGACCGAGCCUUCGAGCUCAAAACAUAGGCCCGGGCCCGGCGCACAGGCAAGACCGGGCCGGGUCGGGUCGGGUCAAGCCGGGUUUCCCAUGGCCAGUUAUACCUGUAAGUGGGUCUACAAUGUUAAUAGUGAUUGUUCUCUUUGAGUGUGACAAAGCUCAUCAUGUGGUAUGUGGCUUUCAGCAGGAAUAUGGCCAUGACCAGAUGAGACAUUUGCUCCUGUGACCCACAUGACUACUCAUCGCACACUUCUCGUUGUGGUUUCUAUUCGCCUUUUGCUUGUCUCUCAGCUUGAUGCCAAAAAUGUCUUUCUUAAUGGUGAGUUGCAUGAGGAGGUCUACAUGUAGCCACCACCUAGGUAUUCUGGUCCUGAUGGCAUGAUUCCUAGUAUUUGUCGCUCUCUCCAACAAACCCAUCAUGCCUAGUUUGAGUGUUUCGUCUUAGUGGUGAGUAUGGGUGGUUUUCUUACUAGUACUCGUGAUCCUGCACUGUAUGUCCACCUUUCAGCUCGUCGUCGGACUCUUCUUCUAUAUGUUGAUGGCAUUAUCAUCACUGAUGAUGACUCUCAGUACAUUGUCUUUGUGAAGGCUCGUCUUAGUGACUACUCCCUCCGUCCCAAAAUUCUUGUCUUAGAUUUGUCUAGUUACGGAUGUAUCUAAUACUAAAAUGUGACUUGACACAUCCGUAUUUAGACAAAUCUAAGACAAAGAAUUUUGGGACGGGGGGAGUAGUUUCUUAUGUCUGAUCUUGGCCCAUCUUGCUGCCUCAUUGGGAUCGAUGUUUCUACUACCUCUAAUGGCUUCUUAAUUCCCAAGAGAAGUAUAUCCAGGACCUUCUUACUCGCAUUGCUUUUAUUGGAAAGCGCUGUUGAGACUCCUAUGGAGCUCAACGUCCACCUCCGUGCUUCUGAUGGCGAGCAUUUGUUUGAUUUGACGCGCUACCGUCAUCUUGUUGGGAGUCUUGUCUAUUUAGAUGUCACUCUUCCGAACAAUCCAUAUCCCAUUCACAUUCUAAGUCAGUUUGUCUCUGCUCCCACUUCGAUCCAGUACAAUCACCUCCUCCAUGUUCUAUACCUUCAUGGGAUUCUCUCUCGCUGUCUCUUCUUCCCACGCUCAAGUUCGACGGUCUAUCUCUACUUAGUUUGUAUUUCUUGGUAGUUUUCUCAUUACCUGGAAGACAAAGAAACAUACUUCACUUUCUUGUUCAAGUGUAGAGGCUGAGUUGCGAGCUAUGACUCUUUUGGCAACAGAGGUAACUUGGCUAAGAUGACUGAUUGAGAAUUUUGGUGUUUCUAUCACUACACCACUCUCUCUUAUCAAACAAUACAAGUAGUAUUGCGUGCUACCCUAUGAACCAUGAGCUCACCAAGCAUAUUAAUGUUUAUGCUUCUUUCAUGUGCUCAAGUGUGCAAGAUCAAAUUAUUGUUCUUUAGUAUGUGCCUUCCAAUUUACAUUUGGCCGAUUUCUUCACAAAGGCCUAGACUAGAGCACAACACGGCUUCUAUCUCUCCAAACUUGGUGUUGUUGAUCCAUCAUGAGCUUGAGGAUUUUGGUGCUUCUAUCUCUCCAAAAGAGACGACCACUUCAGAACACAAACAUUGCACCAAACAUCUGAGGCUACUGCCCAGACGUAGCUUGACCAUAAAGCAACCCUGCGCAACCGACAAUCACGAUGGAGAGGGAUGUAGCACCUCAAUGAAGACUUCAGGAAAGAAACAACGCUCACAAUCGCCAUCAUCAUUGGAGCCAACCAUAAUAAGUGCAGGGUUUUCACAACCACUGAGCCACACAAGGGAGCUCAGACUACGUGAUGACAGUGGACAUAUCAGAGUGACCUGCCGCCAACAACCAAACACACCCACAAUAGUUGUGGCACCUCACUCCACAACAACCAUGUCAUGCCAUCCCAAGUAGCAAAUCCACUGUAAACGCCGGAUCUACCGACAAUCGUCCACCGUCACGGAUGAUGCAUAAGCAUAGGGUGGCGGAUGAUACCUUUCUCCUCCUAGUGUCCUCUUCCCAUCUUCCUCGCUUCCGCUAUCGCCAUACCCUCGCCGCUUAGCUCUAGGUCUAAAGGCUGACUAGCGACAGCAGCAGUCCGCUCCCAUCAGCAUUUUCACCCCUUCCCACACCUCCUCUAUACUCUCUACUACCUGUAAGUCCGACUAGGCAUCCUUUCCCUGACUACGAGUUACUUGUGUGCUGCCUUGUUCCUACAUCAUGUGCUCCCAUGCAAGUUGUCGCCAUAGCUACAAGCUCGGGCACCGCCCCCGAACUUACCCAAGGACGACAAGCGCCCAAGUGCACGUCGCUACCUUUCGCCAAGGCUAGGGACGCCCAGCAAGAGAACGUGGGAUGCGGAACCAAGUCCGUGACACAUAACCCGCAACCAAAGGAAGGACGCCAAGCCAAAUCGGCAGGCAAUGAAGAGUGCACGGUAGGUAUGGGGAAGCGAUGAAAACGCUAUCAGGAGUGGCACACCAUGCCAUCCUCUGCCUUUUCACUUGAACUUCCAAAGAAGAACCCUGAGCUGAAUUACUUGUCCCAAUUUUGCCCUCACGGUCUUAAGACUUGUCACUUUAUUUCCCCCUGAUACCAAGGGAGGUCCCUUUACCGACGCCGCGGGGUUGCCUGCAAUCAAUAACCUCUCGCAAGGUGGCCUCGUACCAGAAUCCCCUAAACAUUUGUUUGCAUUGGCACUGCAUGUACCUGUAUUUCCAUUCGCGGGGUCAAAAUCAUCUUUCUCCAUAUACAUCGGGUCGAGUCAUGCCUAGUUUUCCCUCCACGACCACCUUGGCUUCUACUAGCCCAGCCACCUCUUCCACAGGUGGUAAUACCACGAGGCUGAGCAAUGAACUCAUUUCUAGGCUGGAAACACAUCUAAGGGCCUGUUCUGAUUCUCUCCAACUCUCAACUCCACAAACUCCACUAGUGAAGUUGACCCGAACGCCUGAGCUCCAUGGAGUGAACUUCUCAGAGCUAAGCACUCGCGUAGUGUAAAAAGGAGUUGGGCCAGCCCAGCUUCACAAAACUGGAAAGCUGGGGUUGUUCAUAUUUACAUCCACAAUGCUACCGCCAAAGAAAACGUUUGGGCACCAUGGCCCCAACUAAUCGUUACACUCAUGUCUCCCUCCAAUCCAUACGCUAUAUUCCAACUGAUGGCCUUCAAAUGGGCUUGUUUUUUCCGGCCCAAGUCUUGCCGAACAGGCCAAAAGGGCUCUGCCAGGCCAAGGCACGUUGGAGAAGCUGUUGCUCAUCCCGAACGCUCUCUGAUCGCCAAGGGAAGCUGGAAGCUAGCGGAAGAAGCCAGAUAUGCCGAUUUGGAGAAGCUUGGAGAGAAUCAGAUGGUCAAUCGUAUCGUAAUUUGCGCAAAAAGGCGGCAUCUUCUUGUAUAGCACAUGGAACAUUAGGGGUAGUUUACCUCGCUCAACAUUCCCUAAGAACCUCAAAGUGGGCAGGCUUCUCUAGUUUGAUCUUGACGCGCACUCGUACAAACUUUCAUGCUAACAUCAGAUUGAGUAACGCAAAUUAAAAUUUAGAUAGAUAGUGCUAGCAUCGGUAUUAAAACUAGCAGAUAACUACGAUUGUCGCUACAAGAACUAUUGUUGUAGCUGCCAAAACUUUUUUCAUGCCAGAAUGAAUGAACAGAAAUUGAAGUCAUGUGAGCAUGCAAGGUGGCUGGUAGCAAAUUUACAAAUUAAAACGAACACAUUUGUUUGUCGAAUUUGGGGUGGGAUGUGUUUCUUGUUUUAAACCCGACAUGGGGGGAGGGGGGUCCACCUGAAUGUGAUCUCAUUCAAAAAGAGGAUCGAUCUAGUUUACAACGGAAACCAGAUCAGAAACCAAACAGAGGGCACGACACAAGCGAUAUAGCCUCGUCGACCACAUUACAAAAGCGGCAAAUGCACUAAAACGCAUGGCCCCAGAUCCGAAGCGGCACGACUCAAACUUGUAUUCCUAGGUGGCCAUAGGCUAUACACGUAUGUGGUAUAAUACGCAAAAGGCUCCUUGUAUAACAGGGAAAAUGCAAGGGUACACGACUAUAAUAUUAUAUAUCAGGACCUCAACGCUUUUCGACUUCAGAGCCAGCAGAAUGACUUAAAUACAUGUAAUGAUGUGCUGUGACAGUAAGUAGCACAUGUAAUAAGAAAAACAGGUUAAUGGGGUUACCUUUUCAAGCUCCUCAAGUACAGCCUUUGCAACAACAUUUUUCUGCUCAAAAAGACUGUCCAGCUCCAUUCUAGGAACUAUGGCUCAGACCA